rnacentral:tRNA from 1 species
GGGGGUAUAGCUCAGUGGUUAGAGCACCCGCAUACGUAUCGGAAGGUCGGGGGUUCGACUCCCCCUGCCUCCA